UUAGCCGUCUGUGACCGUCAUUGAUUGGCAUUGGCAUUGACAAUUGACAUAAAUAAUUUCAGUUGGGCUUGGGUUUGAAUUUUGAAUUUGAAUUGAAAUUAAAUUCAAACAAAAUAAUAAACGCUUAUACGCAAUUAUCAAUAAAUGAUUAAAAAAAUAUUAUUUAACUCUACCACAGAUAAAUAUAUUUACAUAGUAUUUAAUAAUAUAUCGUAUAGUGUAGAAGUAUUCUCUUGGGAGUAUUUCUGAGUUUUAUAAAAAAAAUGGACAAUAUUGUAGACAGUACAUUAGAAGAGAAAUGCGAAUACCUUAUGAACGUAGUGGUGGAGUCUCGCAAACAAUUUGGAAAAAUGUGUGUUGACUACGGCCAAAAGACUUCUCUGCUGGAGAACAAAAUGUUGAAGCUCCAGCUAACAAAUAUAAGUAACUGUCGCAUCAAAGCGAAGAAAACUCCAGCAAUAAAUACUGAUGACAUGAAAAAGGAGUUGGACGAGUUUGAGAAUGAGAUUUUAUCGACGCAGAAGUUGGAGGCGAUGAGACGUCGAGUAGCAGAUCUCCAAAGAGUUGUGUUGCAGUUGAAGAAUGACACAAUUGGUCAGACAUUUAGGAAACAGAUCACAACUGAUGCUUUAUUGGCAGAGGCUAAACGAGAUCAUAAUAAAUGAUGUUUAUUUAAAA